rnacentral:rRNA from 1 species
GACGAACGCUGGCGGCGUGCCUAAUACAUGCAAGUAGAACGCUGAAGGAGGAGCUUGCUUCUCUGGAUGAGUUGCGAACGGGUGAGUAACGCGUAGGUAACCUGCCUGGUAGCGGGGGAUAACUAUUGGAAACGAUAGCUAAUACCGCAUAAUAUUGACUAUUGCAUGAUAGUCAGUUGAAAGGUGCAACUGCACCACUACCAGAUGGACCUGCGUUGUAUUAGCUAGUUGGUGGGGUAACGGCUCACCAAGGCGACGAUACAUAGCCGACCUGAGAGGGUGAUCGGCCACACUGGGACUGAGACACGGCCCAGACUCCUACGGGAGGCAGCAGUAGGGAAUCUUCGGCAAUGGACGGAAGCCUGACCGAGCAACGCCGCGUGAGUGAAGAAGGUUUUCGGAUCGUAAAGCUCUGUUGUAAGAGAAGAACGAGUGUGAGAGUGGAAAGCUCACACUGUGACGGUAUCUUACCAGAAAGGGACGGCUAACUACGUG